UGGAGGCUGGUGACGUGAUGCCAUGAGCCCAUCCCAGAGCAGAGUUUAGGAAGCAGCUUCUGGAAUGUGCUGCAGAUCCCAGCCACGUGAGCCACGUUCUGCCUUGCUGGCCUUGCAGCCUGGAGAAGCCGACGGGCUUGUGCGCUGAGGCUCGUGCGCUCUCGUCAGGUGCGCCUUUGCGGGACUUUAGGUGUCUGUCCCGUCGGGAUGAGGCAUCUCCCCUCAGCAAGCUAGUACUUCAUGUUUUUGUUUUUGUUUUUCCCUUGAGUUGCCUAGUAAACACUUCUACUGGAAAAUUCCAACCUUGCCUUGGAUGAACUAAGAGGAAAAGCAAUGUGUCCACACCCAGGCCAGCCCAGCCAGGCAGGGCAGAGGCCCUGGGGAUCAGCUUCGUCGACGUGGCCACAGCUGCAGCUCCAGCUGGAACUCGGGGGGCGUCUGGACAGCGGCACGGAGCGAGGUGGAUCCCGGGGGGCGUUGACAUUGGCCCCAGGCCCUCCCCUCUGCUCUCUCCAGCCCUUUCAUACUUGUUGCUCUUUGUACACAGUCCCGGCACUUAUCACUUAACACAUCUGUUCUCCCGACUCAGAGCCAGAGGCCAGCCCUGUUCACUGGGCAUCUCGGGGGCCUACGUGGCAUUUAUAUGUAAUCAGCGCUCCUUGCAUGAAACCAAAUGGUGUGAGAUUGACGUGGGGGACGGUCGGCACGAACCAGGACCGGGGGGAGUGUCCCAGUGUGACCUCCCUGGAGAGCGGGUAGGCACACAGUACCUGGGGGGCCCUCGCAGGCGAAAUUAGAGUUAUUUGCUUUUAAAUGAUUAUUCUUUUGAACAAAUUGAAAGAAUGUUGUCAAAUAUACGCUCCGAUGCACUCGAAUCAGAUGAUGGCGAAGGUUGGUGAGUUUGGCAGACGCGGGCUGGGAAGGGGUGCAGGGUGGGUGCCAGGAGGAUCCUCGGGUCUGUCCACAAGGUGGCGCUCACCUCUCGUUCUCAGUUCCCAUCCACCAAUAGUCUGUCCUGAAAUCGCUGCAGGACAAUUAGGACGACACUGCUGUGUCCGUAUCUGGUUUCAGGCACCACCCCCCGCCUGCUCUAGAAGAUUUCAGACACUCACGUGUGGUCUCGUGUCCCCAGGAGCCUGGCCCAGAACCGGCCCGGGUUAGCUCACGCACAGGUGUUUGGGUGGUGACAGGGUGUCUGCUUUGAGUAACUUGCUGUAUUGGAACCUGUGGCCUUAGCUAGUGGGACCGUUGUCCUUAGUCUGUACUGCCGCUGAGGUGACCUGUCACACUGACCCGGUCACUGCAAACAUGCCUGGGCUUUUUCCGUGCAAAAGUGUCAAUUUACAAGAGAAAGAGUCUUGGUCUCUGAAUUACAUGAGAGGAGUUUUUAAAAUGCAGACUGAACGACCCAGUAUAAACAAUGAGGAAAAUCCUCCUUCUUUGCCUUAAACUUUCAUACCAUCCCUGUGGACACAAGGGGUGCGCCUCUACAAUUGUUCCAUUGUCAGAGAGAACGAGCUUCAUCAAGUUUCUUCCCUUCAAACGAUCUUUCAAACUGCCCCGCAAGAACGUUGACCAGGCAUCUCACAGAACAAUGAGACAAAUUCCCCAGAUGCUAACCCGGCCUCUUGACGAAUGUCCAGAUUCUUCAGGUUGAACCCAGUUUUCACUAGUUUUGAGAAAAUUUGCAGUGACCAUCCUUCCCCACGUCCUGUGACAGGGCCGAGCAUUGUGUGUCCUACUUGGUGUAGGAAUCUCCAUAAAAGGGGAAACAAUUCCCAGCCCGAAAACAUUUAAAACAGUGCGCCUGUGGGCAAUCUUCUGAAAUGUCACCAGCUAACAAAAAUAAUCUGUCACGUUUCUGCCCUGCCUUACAGUCCAUGCGCCCUUACACCCCGAGUAAUCCUGUGGCACCCUGUGAGGGGUCCCGCAGAUAGAUUACUGUCCCACCGCGGACAGGAGGAAAUGAAGAGUCAGGAGGUCAAGUGACUUGUAUAACGUCACCGAAUAGGGUCACUCUGGAAGUUUCCCUUACAACGUAAAUUUCCAAUGAAAUCCAAGGAAGCAGUGGUCCAAGAACAAUGGGGUUCACAGUCCCAGCCCAGGGGGUGAGCUACAAGUCCAAUAAAGAACAAGCCAGCCGCGCAUCCAGCUUUGAGUUGCACAACAAACUAGGCUCUGAUAAGAUGGCGCCCUUGGAAGGGAGAUGGGAAAACGUGUCGGUGUACCCAGCUCCUGCCGCUGCCUCAGCUGUGUCUGAGAACACAGCUGGUCCCUGACCUUCUUGAAGCUCUCCACACUCCAUAUACCCACAACGGAGGAACUGCACAGAUGUCAGACACGGUCCAUUAGGAGGAGUGAGACGGAGCCACAACAACCUAGCCCAGGGAGCAAGAAAGAGCGUAAAAGCCACGUGCUUCUCUGGGAUAACGGAGAACAUCUGUCGCAGACUCACAGGGCUGGGAGGACAGCUCUAAGACCUUGCCACCCUCCCUGGAGCAUACUUGCUGCUUCUGGCCAGAAUCCCUUUCCAGGGCUGGGGUGGGACCCUGUUUCCACCUCCCCAUCUCUGGAUGGACAUCUCUGUAGUGGUCCACGUGCCAGCUCUGGGUGUCUGGUGGUGAGGCCAUCUAGACUCCGGGAAGCCGGCCUUCUUGAGAAAGUCAGAGGGUUCAAGGCAGAGGUAUGACCAGAGGUGGGGGGCCAGGUAUGGGGAUACGAGGGUCCUGGGGCACCGCUCUGGGUCCUCGAAACAAGCCACUGCCUGAAAACCCUGCGUUGGGCACUUAUUGGAAGGGAGACCCGUCUGAGAGGACGUGGUCUUUCCUCUGCUGUUCGUUCUUUCCAUCCGGACGAUUGAGGAUCCCUGCGCUCUGUCUCUUCCUCUGCAAGCUUGUGUCUCUACUGGCUGGUCCAGGAGGCAACUCUGCUCCGCAGAGAGUUUUCAGGCCUCCCUCCUUUUUAUAACAUCUCAGAGAGGAGACGCAAAGAGGCUUGGCUACUGAGUGUCUUUCACACUGUGGCCUGAGACACACUAGUGCGACGAGAAAUCCAUGUCAUGAGUUGGAGGCGGUAUGAAAAACAAGCAAACGAAACAAAACAGAAGGAAACACAGAAGGAAACAGGAAUGAACUGAACUGAACCGGAACCACCAGAGUACCCGGCACAGAGUCAGGGUGAGUGUCAUUUCCUGGAGUCUGUGUGAACCUUUUGUUCACGGUAACAUCCACACACGCGCAUCUGUGUGCGUCGUGUUUGUGUUCUUGGUUAGGAUGGGAGACUUGUGUCCGGGCCGUGGUCCAACGGGUUUGGAAGCCACCGGUUCAGGGAGGUGUUGCCUCCGUGGGGCUGCGCAGAGGAACCUGUAUUUGGUCUUCGCCCCUGCUUCCAGGCACAGACCUCCCAGCAGCCCUGGAAUUUCCGGAGUGAUGAGAGUGUGUUAGUCACGACCUGAGCUUACGUUAAUGAGGUGCCUCUUGGUGGCCCCUGGGCAGCUGUGGGAGGACGGAGACGGGCAGCCAGAGGAGCCAGCGGGUGGUUAGAGGGUUGGCACUUGUAGCCCUAGCUCUGGCCUUUGGGGAGGGGAGAGGGGCUGCAGAUUUCUAAUCACCAAUGGCCAGUGAUGUCGGCAGUCAUGCCUAUACAACAAGUGGCCCACAAAACCCCUGAACAGUGGGGUUCAGGGAGCUUCAGGUUGGGGAGCACACUGAGGUCCUGAGGGGCAUGCGCCCCCCAGAAGGCGCGGGGGCUCUGCAUCCCUCCCCACCUGUUGCCCUGUGCCUCUCUUCCAUUGGGUUGUUCCUGAAUUGUACCCUUUGUAACAAACCAAUAUAUGUAAGUAACAUG